rnacentral:rRNA from 1 species
UACGUAGGGUGCAAGCGUUGUCCGGAAUUAUUGGGCGUAAAGAGCUCGUAGGCGGUCUGUCGCGUCGGCUGUGAAAACCCGGAGCUCAACUCCGGGCCUGCAGUCGAUACGGGCAAACUGGAGUGUUGCAGGGGAGACUGGAAUUCCUGGUGUAGCGGUGAAAUGCGCAGAUAUCAGGAGGAACACCGGCGGCGAAGGCGGUGGUCUGGUCGGUUUCUGACGCUGAGGAGCGAAAGCUAGGGGAGCAAACGGG